GAUGCAGUGUACCCGCGGCAAGACGGAAAGACCCCGUGAACCUUUACUAUAGCUUGACACUGAACAUUGAGCCUUGAUGUGUAGGAUAGGUGGGAGGCUUUGAAGUGUGGACGCCAGUCUGCAUGGAGCCGACCUUGAAAUACCACCCUUUAAUGUUUGAUGUUCUAACGUGGACCCGUGAUCCGGGUUGCGGACAGUGUCUGGUGGGUAGUUUGACUGGGGCGGUCUCCUCCUAAAGAGUAACGGAGGAGCACGAAGGUUGGCUAAUCCUGGUCGGACAUCAGGAGGUUAGUGCAAUGGCAUAAGCCAGCUUGACUGCGAGCGUGACGGCGCGAGCAGGUGCGAAAGCAGGUCAUAGUGAUCCGGUGGUUCUGAAUGGAAGGGCCAUCGCUCAACGGAUAAAAGGUACUCCGGGGAUAACAGGCUGAUACCGCCCAAGAGUUCAUAUCGACGGCGGUGUUUGGCACCUCGAUGUCGGCUCAUCACAUCCUGGGGCUGAAGUAGGUCCCAAGGGUAUGGCUGUUCGCCAUUUAAAGUGGUACGCGAGCUGGGUUUAGAACGUCGUGAGACAGUUCGGUCCCUAUCUGCCGUGGGCGCUGGAGAACUGAGGGGGGCUGCUCCUAGUACGAGAGGACCGGAGUGGACGCAUCACUGGUGUUCGGGUUGUCAUGCCAAUGGCACUGCCCGGUAGCUAAAUGCGGAAGAGAUAAGUGCUGAAAGCAUCUAAGCACGAAACUUGCCCCGAGAUGAGUUCUCCCUGAGACUUAGAGUCUCCUGAAGGAACGUUGAAGACGACGACGUUGAUAGGCCGGGUGUGUAAGCGCAGCGAUGCGUUGAGCUAACCGGUACUAAUGAACCGUGAGGCUUAACCUUACA
rnacentral:rRNA from 1 species